AACGAACGCUGGCGGCAUGCCUAACACAUGCAAGUCGAACGAGACCUUCGGGUCUAGUGGCGCACGGGUGCGUAACGCGUGGGAACCUGCCCUUAGGUUCGGAAUAACUCCCCGAAAGGGGUGCUAAUACCGGAUAAUGUCUUCGGACCAAAGAUUUAUCGCCUUUGGCUGGGCCCGCGUUGGAUUAGCUAGUUGGUAGGGUAAAAGCCUACCAAGGCGACGAUCCAUAGCUGGUCUGAGAGGAUGAUCAGCCACACUGGGACUGAGACACGGCCCAGACUCCUACGGGAGGCAGCAGUGGGGAAUAUUGGACAAUGGGCGAAAGCCUGAUCCAGCAAUGCCGCGUGAGUGAUGAAGGCCUUAGGGUUGUAAAGCUCUUUUACCCGGGAUGAUAAUGACAGUACCGGGAGAAUAAGCGCCGGCUAACUCCGUG
rnacentral:rRNA from 1 species